CCCUUAGAUGUCCUGGGCCGCACGCGCGCUACACUGAUGCAUUCAACGAGUCUACCUUGGCCGAGAGGCCUGGGCAACCUUUUAAACGUGCAUCGUGAUAGGGAUAGAUUAUUGCAAUUAUUAAUCUUGAACGAGGAAUUCCUAGUAAACGCAAAUCAUCAAUUUGCAUUGUUUACGUCCCUGCACUUUGUACACACCGCCCGUCGCACCUACCGAUUGAAUGGUCCGGUGAGGACUCGGGAUUUUUACCAGUUUCCUUCAUUGGGAAUUGGUGAGGAGAACUUGUCCAAACCUUAUCAUUUAGAGGAAGGUGAAGUCGUAACA
rnacentral:rRNA from 1 species